UUAUCCGGAUUUAUUGGGCGUAAAGCGUCCGCAGCCGGUUUAUUAAGUCUAGAAUUAAAGCCUGGAGCUCAACUCCAGUUCGUUUUAGAAACUGAUAGACUCGAGUGUGGUAGAGGCAAACGGAAUUUCUAGUGUAGCGGUAGAAUGCGUAGAUAUUAGAAGGAACACCAGUGGCGAAGGCGGUUUGCUAGGCCACCACUGACGGUCAUGGACGAAAGCGUGGGGAGCAAAUAGGAUUAGAUACCCUAGUAGUCCACGCUGUAAACGAUGAGUACUAAGUGUCGGGUUACCGGUGCUGAAGUUAACACAUUAAGUACUCCGCCUGAGUAGUACGGUCGCAAAGCUGAAACUCAAAGGAAUUGACGGGCACCCGCACAAGCGGUGGAGCAUGCUGUUUAA
rnacentral:rRNA from 1 species